GGUCUUAUGUAUAAUGUUUUGAAAGCAUUUUUAAAGAGUAUUCUUUAAGACCA
rnacentral:tRNA from 1 species